UUUUAACAUUCAAAUGUCCCUUUGAACCUUGGAAGGCUACUAUCUCAGAGAGAAAAAGCAGAAAAUCAAAUAACUAAAGUGAGGGCACAUCAGAACUGCUGGGACAGCAUGGCCUUGCUAAGGAAGCAUGAAAAGCCCUCACCAGAAGCUGAGCAGAUGCAGGUGCCAUGCUUCUUCAACUUCCCAGGCUACAGACCAUGAACUGAAUAAACCCCUUUUCUUUAUGAA